ACGGCUCAGUAACACGUGGACAAUCUAACCUACGGAAGAGGAUAACCCCGGGAAACUGGGGAUAAUACUCUAUAGACUAUGGAUGCUGGAAUGCUUUGUAGUCGAAAGGUCCGCCGCCGUAGGAUGGGUCUGCGGCCGAUUAGGUUGUUGUUGGGGUAACGGCCCAACAAGCCUGUAAUCGGUACGGGUUGUGGGAGCAAGAGCCCGGAGAUGGAUUCUGAGACACGAAUCCAGGCCCUACGGGGCGCAGCAGGCGCGAAAACUUUACAAUGCGGGAAACCGUGAUAAGGGAACUCUGAGUGCCCGUAAAAUCGGGCUGUCCAUCAGUUUAAAAAACUGGUGAAGAAAGGGCCGGGCAAGACCGGUGCCAGCCGCCGCGGUAAUACCGGCGGCUCGAGUGGUGGCCACUAUUACUGGGCUUAAAGCGUUCGUAGCUGGUUUGUUAAGUCUCUGGGGAAAUCUUCCGGCUCAACCGGAAGGCGUCUCAGGGAUACUGGCAGACUAGGGACCGGGAGAGGUGAGGGGUACUUCAGGGGUAGGAGUGAAAUCCUGUAAUCCUUGAGGGACCACCUGUGGCGAAGGCGCCUCACCAGAACGGCUCCGACAGUGAGGGACGAAAGCUGGGGGAGCAAACCGGAUUAGAUACCCGGGUAGUCCCAGCUGUAAACGAUGCGCGUUAGGUGUAUCAGUGACCACGAGUCACUGAGGUGCCGAAGAGAAAUCGUGAAACGUGCCGCCUGGGAAGUACGGUCGCAAGGCUGAAACUUAAAGGAAUUGGCGGGGGAGCAC
rnacentral:rRNA from 1 species